rnacentral:rRNA from 1 species
GACGAACGCUGGCGGCGUGCUUAACACAUGCAAGUCGAACGGAAAGGCCCUGCUUUUGUGGGGUGCUCGAGUGGCGAACGGGUGAGUAACACGUGAGUAACCUGCCCUUGACUUUGGGAUAACUUCAGGAAACUGGGGCUCAUACCGGAUAGGAGCUCCUGCUGCAUGGUGGGGGUUGGAAAGUUUCGGCGGUUGGGGAUGGACUCGCGGCUUAUCAGCUUGUUGGUGGGGUAGUGGCUUACCAAGGCUUUGACGGGUAGCCGGCCUGAGAGGGUGACCGGCCACAUUGGGACUGAGAUACGGCGCAGACUCCUACGGGAGGCAGCAGUGGGGAAUAUUGCGCAGUGGGCGGAAGCCUGAUGCAGCAACGCCGCGUGCGGGAUGACGGCCUUCGGGUUGUAAACCGCUUUCGCCUGUGACGAAGCGUGAGUGACGGUAAUGGGUAAAGAAGCACCGGCUAACUACGUG